rnacentral:rRNA from 1 species
UACGGAGGGAGCUAGCGUUAUUCGGAAUUACUGGGCGUAAAGCGUACGUAGGCGGCUUUGUAAGUAAGAGGUGAAAGCCCGGAGCUCAACUCCGGAACUGCCUUUUAGACUGCAUCGCUUGAAUCCAGGAGAGGUGAGUGGAAUUCCGAGUGUAGAGGUGAAAUUCGUAGAUAUUCGGAAGAACACCAGUGGCGAAGGCGGCUCACUGGCCCCGGUACUGACGCUGAGGUGGCGAAAAGCGUGGGGGAG